ACAGGCAAAGGGUCAGGGCCCAACACUCUGCCAACGAUACGAUUACUGUGUGGUAGGGAAGGAUGUUAACAAGGGGACUAUUGCAUUGUAUUAAAUCUGAAAACGAUGAUCGGGUAUGUUUUGAUGUGUGUGAUGUUUGUGCCGAGAUAACUUUUUGACAUUCGAUGAUCACUUCUGACAAUUUGAAGCAGCUCCUAAACGUUUAA